AAUAUGACUCUCGGCAAUGGAUAUCUCGGCUCUCGCAUCGAUAAAGAGCGCAGCGAAAUGCGAUACAUGGUGCGAAUUGCAAAAUCCCGUGAACCAUCGAGUCU
rnacentral:rRNA from 1 species